rnacentral:rRNA from 1 species
AAGGGUUUGGCUGUUCGCCAAUUAAAGCGGUACGUGAGCUGGGUUUAGAACGUCGUGAGACAGUUCGGUCCCUAUCUGCCGUGGGUGUUGGAGAAUUGAGAGGAGCUGUCCCUAGUACGAGAGGACCGGGAUGGACACACCUCUGGUGGACCUGUUGUCGCGCCAGCGGCACAGCAGGGUAGCUAUGUGUGGAAGGGAUAACCGCUGAAAGCAUCUAAGCGGGAAGCCCCCCUCAAAACCAGUUCUCCCUUGAGAGCCGUGGAAGACCACCACGUUGAUAGGCUGGGUGUGGAAGCACAGCAAUGUGUGAAGCUAACCAGUACUAAUCGCUCGAUCGGCUUGAUUGCUCUCAUU